GACGAACGCUGGCGGCGUGCUCAACACAUGCAAGUCGAACGGAAAGGCCCCAGCUUGCUGGAGUACUCGAGUGGCGAACGGGUGAGUAACACGUGGGUAAUCUGCCCUGCACUCUGGAAUACGCCUGGGAAACUGGGUCUAAUACUGGAUAUGACCUUUCUCCUUAUGGGGUUUGGUGGAAAGUUUUUCGGUGUAGGAUGAGCCCGCGGCCUAUCAGCUUGUUGGUGGGGUGAUGGCCUACCAAGGCGACGACGGGUAGCCGGCCUGAGAGGGUGAUCGGCCACAUUGGGACUGAGAUACGGCCCAGACUCCUACGGGAGGCAGCAGUGGGGAAUAUUGCACAAUGGGCGGAAGCCUGAUGCAGCGACGCCGCGUGAGGGAUGACGGCCUUCGGGUUGUAAACCCCUUUCAGCAGGGACGAAGCGUAAGUGACGGUACCUGCAGAAGAAGCACCGGCUAACUAUGUGCCAGCCGCCGCAGUAA
rnacentral:rRNA from 1 species